rnacentral:lncRNA from 1 species
GCACAUGCUGGAGGAUGGGGCAGAACGUAGGGUCCCAAGCCCCUGAGGGAGGGGCUUGUCCUAAUCAAGUCACAGAAAUCAGGGCAGGGAGAGCAUGAAAGAGUCUUGUUCCCCUCUCUGCAUUUGGGAGAUUCAGGCCCCGGGGAGAGGAGAGACUGACCCAUGAUCAUCCAGAGGGGACUUGGUUAAGCUGGUCCUGAGCUCUGCCAUGCAUGUUCUGUUUUCCUACCCUGGCAGCUGGCUCAGAGCAUGGAUAGGCCUUGUCUCUCUUUUCUUUCUUUCUGCCAAAUUCUUUUCUGUUGGGAAUCUGAACAGCGGGUAGAUGCAGUCAUGGCAUGAUUUGCUCCAAAUAUCUCCCCAACAGGUGGUCACGGUGUCUACAAUUCCAUCACCAGAUCUUCCAUUUCCAGGAGUAACCCUGGGCAGGUGUAUACCAUGUGUCUUGUUUACAGUGGGGAUUAAUAGUUCAAGGAGCCCAAGGAGGGAAGGACCGGAUGUACUCUGCAAUCCCAGAAAACUCAAUGGGCUGAGGCAGGAGGACCUACUGGCCAUUGAAGACUGUCCACUCCUGGUCCAGAUUCCAAGUGACCAGGCAGAAAGAGCAUGGACUUUGGAGUUUGAUUGCCUGGCUUUAAAUCCCCCUGCUCCACUCGCUACUGUGGUGUGGACUCAAACUUGAGGUACAGUCAUCCUAUGAAGGAUCAGAGCUGGAAAGUGGGGGCCUGGCUCAGGGAGCAGCAGAACCAGAGCAGAAGCUGAGCUGGAGAUGCCCUGAUGGGGCCGAGGUGGAGGCUCAGGCCUGGGAUGGGCAGUUGGACCAGCAGGUCCAAAACAGCAGAAGCCAAGGCAGGCAGCGGUCUUGGAGAUGCCCUCUGACCUGCCGUGGACUGGAGCCUCUAAGAUGCUUCCUCCUGAGGCUGGAGCUGAUGACUGGCAUCCUUGGGAUGUAACCUGCGUGCAGCCGGCAGAUUCAACAAAUAUUCAUGCUGGAAUGGGAUGCAGAAGUCACCUACUUUCAGAGAUGGGGAAACUGAGACCCAGAGAGGGCACAGCCUUUUCUCGGGGGCCUCCAGUGACUCAGAGUCAAAUCUGUGCUUCUUGGCUCCUGGAUCUCUGAGCUGCACCCACUGGACCCCUAUGCCAACCCCAGCACCCCUGUUCUCCAUGGCGGCCCCGCCCUGAGGAUUUCCUAUGCCUUUCUACAGAGCUUUCUCCUUCUCCUAGAUCCCUUUUCUGCAAAACGAGGCUGGGGAGUUCUGAGCCAAGCCCAGGCCCACGUGCCUGGAACCAGAGACAGCGUAAGGAGCAGACACUGCCAGGUCACUUGCAGCAGACUCCAGGAGGAAAUGAGGGAAACAGAACCUCAGCCGUAGCCUAGCCAGGGCUCUCAGAGCCUAGAAAGCUCUUAGGAGAAGUGGAGAGUUGUUCAGAUCCAGGCUAAUUUGUCAUCUCCAGCCCUUCUCUGGUGAUCAGCUUGCCUCUUCCUCUACCUGCCCCUAUAGGUAGAGGAAGCUUGCCCUUCCUCUCCUGCAUCUUCUCCUCCCCUUUCUGUCACAUGCCUUCUGCUUCUUGAGGCCUCUGCCUCAUUGUAGUUUCUCUUGCUGUCCAGUUCCGGUGAGCUCAUGGCUUCUGUAGCCCAGUUUCUCUUUGCUUCCCUUUGUGAAUCUUUCCUGCUUCGACUCUCACUCCCAACUUCUUAACUUACACUCAAUGCUCCCAGAGGGAGGACUUGAUUGGUUUGGAAGUCCCCCACCAGGACAGGCCAAGGAUUAAGUGAGUUCUUAUAUGAGGUCUCUGAUUCCCUAACUCCAGCUAGGUGUUCAAUUAUUCAGUUCAAUUCUGACACCAACUCCAGGAGUUAGUGCAGACCCCAAGGUUUAGGGCUCAGCCCCACAGGGCUGUCCCCCUUUAGCCACCAGUCACACACAAGUCCAGGGACCAUCUGUACAUCUGACUGCCUGGCUCUGAAUUUCAGGGUUCCCAUAACCUCCCCUUCUAGUUAGAUCAUUCACUAGAACAAUUCACAAAACUCAGCAAGUGCUUUACUUACUAUUACCAGUGGAUUAUAAAGGAUACUACUCAAGAACAGACUCAUGGAAGAGAUGCAGGGAACAAAACAUGGGGGAUUUGCACAAAGCUUCCACGCCCUCCCAGCGAGUCCCUGUGUUCACCAGCCCUGAAGCUCCCAAACCCUGUUGUUUAGGGGUUUUUCUUGCAGUUUCAUUAUGAUGGAUUAAAUCAUUGGCCAUUGGCGAUUGAAUUCAAUCUCCAGCCCAUCUUACCCCCAUGGAGGCUGUAGGGGGUGUGGGGGUAACCAGCCCUCAUCAUGAAGCUCUCUAGGGCUCCUCCAUAAGUCAUCUCAUUAGCAUAUGAAAGGCAAUACGUUCAGGGGUUUUAGGAGCUCUGUGCCAGGAAUUAGAGACCAAGACCAAAUAUUUAUAUUUUAUACCACACCAGGCCACUUCUCAGCCCACUGGCCAACUUCAAGAUUGACUGCUGUUAGGUCACAAUACCCACUUGGCCAGGGGUAGAGAUCACUCAGUAUCAUGUGUGGUGUAAGCUGUUGAGAUUAGGCAUAGACAGUGGCAGGUGACUGACGGGCUGGACAACUGACAGAUGCUCACCUUGGCCAGUGUAGGCACAGAUAGGGCAGGACCCCAUUUGUUUAAGUGUUCCAUCCUCAGAAAUCCCCUCUCCCCCACUUCUUCCUUCUCUUCAUUCCUUCUUUGCUAUUUUUAAAUGGCACAUUGGAAAUAAAACAAUUGUCAAUGUAUUCAGCCCUCCCGCAGCGGGCUGCCAAUCAGCACAGUCCAGCCUACCUCCGCUUCCAUUCCCUCCACCUUAGCCCUCACCUCCCUCUUUGCUCUUGCCCCCGUCUCCGGGCACUCAGGUCUCUGUUAGUUUCUCAACAGCUUUGCAUAUGCUGUUCCCUCUAUUUGGAAUGCUCUUCCCCAUCUCCCACCCCUGGCUGGCUUUUCCUGGCCACCCACUCUGAAUGAUGCGCUCCUCUUACAUAUGUGCCCUGUGUGUUUCUUUACUGAUACUUGUCAGCCUGCUGAUCGACUUAUUUGCACAAACAUUUAAUAAAUCACUGGACCGUCUGCUGUAGGCGGGCAGAGAUCAGAUCUGUUUUGUCUUGCUCAGUACUGUGCAAUAACACCUAGAACAGGCCUGGCUUGGUAGAUAGCUAUUGAAUAAGUGAGUGAAUGGAUGAAUGUCAUUGAAUCAGAGAUGAUUAUGAUUCACAAAGGCUUAUAUGUAUGAGUGAAUUUGAAAAAAUAGAAACAACUUGAAUAUUCAAUAAUAGCCAAUUAAAAAUAUA